CUGGCCUUAGAAGAAUGUGCUGUGGCCAACAGAGAGCCAGAAAUAUACUGCCGAGGAAACCUCAGCCUGGGUAAGGUCUCAAAUGAAUUAGCUCCCUACGUUAUCAAUUCCAAAGGACUGUAAAACAAGUACCUACAUGUUGAAGAGAGAAGGUAUAUGCACGUUGAAGAAAGAAAAUAAUUUAUCAAGAUCUCAAAUCAAGGGUUUGGAAGCCCCCAGAAUCAUUGUUGGAGCACUGUGCCAUGGAGCACCUUGAAGAUCCACUUCCAGCUGUGGACUCUUCCAGGAAAGAAGAAAUGAGAAAACAUCACCUUUUCUCCACACCCACCCUCAACUCCCACUUCUGUACUAUAGAAGCAAAAUUGAUUAGGCUGGCUAAUUUGAAGAGAAAAAGAUGAUAGGGGCUUUGUGCUUUAGAGGUAGAAGAGGGUAAUAGUCAGGUUCACUCUGACAAAGCCCACUAGAGAUGGUAGACCCACUGGUAGAAAUGGCUACCUGGAUACCCAAGGAGAGCAUUAAUCAUCCCAUCCCAUAUCUGAG
ensembl:lincRNA